UACGUAGGGGGCAAGCGUUGUCCGGAAUCAUUGGGCGUAAAGAGCGUGUAGGUGGCUCGGUAAGUCCGCUGUAAAAGUCCAGGGCUCAACCCUGGAAAGCCGGUGGAAACUGUCGAGCUAGAGUCCGGAAGAGGCGAGUGGAAUUCCCGGUGUAGUGGUGAAAUGCGUAGAGAUCGGGAGGAACACCAGUGGCGAAGGCGGCCGGCUGGGGGUGCCCUGACGCUGAGGCGCGAAAGCGUGGGGAGCGAACCGG
rnacentral:rRNA from 1 species